rnacentral:rRNA from 1 species
UGGCUCAGGACGAACGCUGGCGGCGUGCUUAACACAUGCAAGUCGAACGGUGACGACGGGGCUUGCCCUGUCUGAUCAGUGGCGAACGGGUGAGUAACACGUGAGUAACCUGCCCUUGACUCUGGGAUAACCGCGGGAAACGGCGGCUAAUACCGGAUAUGAGACGUACAGGCAUCUGUUGCGUCUGGAAAGAUUUAUCGGUCAAGGAUGGGCUCGCGGCCUAUCAGCUUGUUGGUGGGGUGAUGGCCUACCAAGGCGACGACGGGUAGCCGGCCUGAGAGGGCGACCGGCCACACUGGGACUGAGACACGGCCCAGACUCCUACGGGAGGCAGCAGUGGGGAAUAUUGCACAAUGGGCGCAAGCCUGAUGCAGCGACGCCGCGUGAGGGAUGAAGGCCUUCGGGUUGUAAACCUCUU